rnacentral:rRNA from 1 species
UACGGAGGGCGCAAGCGUUGUUCGGAAUUACUGGGCGUAAAGCGCGUGUAGGUGGCUUGGAAAGUCGUUUGUGAAAAUCCGGGGCUCAACCCCGGAAAUGCAUACGAUACUGGCAGGCUGGAGACUGGUAGAGGCUAGCGGAAUUCCUGGUGUAGCGGUGGAAUGCGUAGAUAUCAGGAAGAACACCUGUGGCGAAGGCGGCUAGCUGGGCCAGAUCCGACGCUCAUCCGCGAAAGCGUGGGGAGCAAACAGG